UCAAUUGUGUUUAAAUUGAGUGGCAAC
rnacentral:piRNA from 1 species